ACACAACACUAGGGGUGCGUUUAAGCUGAGAGAGACAUGUCUAUGUCUUAACCCUGACUACCUGAUCUAGGUAAUACUAGCGAAGGGAAGUGGCGGACAUAUGUA
rnacentral:ncRNA from 2 species